rnacentral:rRNA from 1 species
UCGGGAAUUUUGGGCAAUGGGGGAAACCCUGACCCAGCAACGCCGCGUGAAGGAUGAAGUAUUUCGGUAUGUAAAUUUCGAAAGAAUAGGAAGAAUAAAUGACGGUACUAUUUAUAAGGUCCGGCUAACUACGUGCCAGCAGCCGCGGUAAUACGUAGGGACCAAGCGUUGUUCGGAUUUACUGGGCGUAAAGGGCGCGUAGGCGGCAUGACAAGUCACUUGUGAAAUCUCUGGGCUUAACCCAGAACGGCCAAGUGAUACUGUCGCGCUAGAGUGCAGAAGGGGCAAUCGGAAUUCUUGGUGUAGCGGUGAAAUGCGUAGAUAUCAAGAGGAACACCUGAGGUGAAGACGGGUUGCUGGGCUGACACUGACGCUGAGGCGCGAAAGCCAGGGGAGCAAACGGGAUUAGAUACCCAAGUAGUCCCUGAGCGGGCUGGCAAGGCGCAU